rnacentral:rRNA from 1 species
AACGAACGCUGGCGGCGUGCUUAACACAUGCAAGUCGAACGAGAAAGUUCCCUUCGGGGGACGAGUAAAGUGGCGCACGGGUUAGUAACACGUGGACAACCUACCUCCGGGAGGGGCACAACCUGUCGAAAGACGGGCUAAUACUCCAUAAGACCACAGGAUCCUCGGAUCCAGGGGUCAAAGGUGGCCUCUACCUGUAAGCUAUUGCCUGGGGAUGGGUCCGCGCACCAUUAGCUUGUUGGUGAGGUAACGGCUCACCAAGGCCGAGAUGGUUAGUUGGUCUGAGAGGACGACCAGCAACACUGGAACUGAGACACGGUCCAGACUCCUACGGGAGGCAGCAGUGGGGAAUCUUGGACAAUGGGCGAAAGCCUGAUCCAGCGACGCCGCGUGAGUGAUGAAGGCCCUCGGGUUGUAAAGCUCUGUCAGCGGGAACGAAUAAAGGUGACCUAAUACGUCACCCGAUGACGGUACCUGCAAAGGAAGCACCGGCUAACUCUGUG